CAGUCGCCACGGGAAUACGGAGGGGGCUAGCGUUGUUCGGAAUUACUGGGCGUAAAGCGCACGUAGGCGGCUUGGUAAGUUAGAGGUGAAAGCCCAGGGCUCAACCCUGGAAUUGCCUUUAAGACUGCCGAGCUAGUAGGUGAGAGAGGUAAGUGGAAUUCCGAGUGUAGAGGUGAAAUUCGUAGGUAUUCGGAAGAACACCAGUGGCGAAGGCGGCUUACUGGCUCAUACUGGACGCUGAGGUGCGAAAGCGUGGGGAGCAAACAGGAUUAGAGACCCCCGUAGUCCAUGUCUCUUAUAC
rnacentral:rRNA from 1 species